rnacentral:misc_RNA from 1 species
CCGAGUUUACAACUCCCAAACCCAAGUGUGAACGUUACCAAACUGUUGCCUCGGCGGGAUCUCUGCCCCGGGUGCGUCGCAGCCCCGGACCAAGGCGCCCGCCGGAGGACCAACCAAAACUCUUAUUGUAUACCCCCUCGCGGGUUUUUUUUUAUAAUCUGAGCCUUCUCGGCGCCUCUCGUAGGCGUUUCGAAAAUGAAUCA